rnacentral:rRNA from 1 species
GACGAACGCUGGCGGCGUGCUUAACACAUGCAAGUCGAACGAAGUGGCGAACGGGUGAGUAACGCGUAAUCAACCUGCCCUUCAGAGGGGGACAACAGUUGGAAACGACUGAUAAUACCGCAUACUGAAGGCGGGGGUUGCGUCUGCUUAGCUCGUUGGGGGGGGAACGGCCCACCAAGGCGAUGAUCAGUAGCCGGGUGUAGAGGAUGAACGGGCAAAUUGGGACUGAGACACGGCCCAGACGCCUACGGGAGGCAGCAGUGGGGAAUCUUCGGCAAUGGACGAAAGUCUGACGGAGCAACGCCGGGUGAGUGAUGACGGCCUUCGGGUUGUAAAGCUCUGUUAAUCGGGACGCGGUACCGGAAUAGAAAGCCACGGCUAACUACGUGCCAGCAGCCGCGGUAAUUC